rnacentral:rRNA from 1 species
UACGAAGGGGGCUAGCGUUGUUCGGAUUUACUGGGCGUAAAGCGCACGUAGGCGGAUCUUUAAGUCAGAGGUGAAAUCCCAAGGCUCAACCUUGGAACUGCCUUUGAUACUGGGGAUCUUGAGUCCGGGAGAGGUGAGUGGAACUGCGAGUGUAGAGGUGAAAUUCGUAGAUAUUCGCAAGAACACCAGUGGCGAAGGCGGCUCACUGGCCCGAUACUGACGCUGAGGCACGAAAGCGUGGGGGAGCAAACAGG